rnacentral:rRNA from 1 species
GACGAACGCUGGCGGCGUGCUUAACACAUGCAAGUCGAACGGAAAGGCCCUGCUUUUGUGGGGUGCUCGAGUGGCGAACGGGUGAGUAACACGUGAGUAACCUGCCCUUGACUUUGGGAUAACUUCAGGAAACUGGGGCUAAUACCGGAUAGGAGCUCCUGCUGCAUGGUGGGGGUUGGAAAGUUUCGGCUGUUGGGGAUGGACUCGCGGCUUAUCAGCUUGUUGGUGGGGUAGUGGCUUACCAAGGCUUUGACGGGUAGCCGGCCUGAGAGGGUGACCGGCCACAUUGGGACUGAGAUGCGGCCCAGACUCCUACGGGAGGCAGCAGUGGGGAAUAUUGCACAAUGGGCGGAAGCCUGAUGCAGCAACGCCGCGUGCGGGAUGACGGCCUUCGGGUUGUAAACCGCUUUCGCCUGUGACGAAGCGUGAGUGACGGUAAUGGGUAAAGAAGCACCGGCUAACUACGUG